rnacentral:misc_RNA from 1 species
UCCAGUUUGUCACUGGCAGUCUUCUUAGAGUGCCCACCAUUAUGUGCUGGUAACUAAGAACAAGGGUUGCGCUCGUUACGGGACUUAACCCAACAUCUCACGACACGAGCUGACGACAGCCAUGCAGCACCUGUCUCUCGGCUCCCGAAGGCACUCUCCCUAUGAGAGGAGAUUCCAAGGAUGUCAAGGAUAGGUAAGGUUCUUCGCGUUGCAUCGAAUUAAACCACAUGCUCCACCGCUUGUGCAGGCCCCCGUCAAUUCAUUUGAGUUUUAACCUUGCGGCCGUACUCCCCAGGCGGAGAACUUAUCGCGUUAGCUGCGGCACUAAGAGACGAAUCUCCCAACGCCUAGUUCUCAUCGUUUACGGCGUGGACUAC